GCGGGAGCUUCGAGACUAGAGCGGUGCGAGAGGUAGGUGGUUCGCGGAAAGUUUCUGAAAAAGCGUAUACUGAAAGAUCCAAGUAAAAGUGAGAUAUGGUUGUAUCAACGCAUCUUAAAAGGAGUCGAAACUCCCGCUUGUGAAAUGAAACAUUAUCAUUCCUGUUGAAGAGUCUCGUGUAACCACUUUCCCAGCCACAACCACUGCCCAACUGACCCUGGGUAAACACUCUUCCGAACUUGGUAUUCAUCACUGCGAUGGAUGACCUUAUGUUUAUGCAUCUGGUGUGUUGUAUCCUCCUGAACACGGUGGGCAAAAUUCCCCACAGCACCUCUGGAAUCCUCUGACAAGCCGGGUUCAUGCUUGGCCCAAGACGAUGCCUUGGCUUCCCUGCAGGUACCUGACCUGGGAGGAGCAGACCUACUGGGUAGUCUCCUCCUUUAGGGGUCUGGAAACAUAGAGGACAGAGGAAUAUGUUGAACUGCACCAUGGAUGUGUCCUGAGCAAAACCCAUAUUGUGGGAAACUCUACAUGUCAAAUGGCCUGCAUUCUUCAGCAGGUUCUUAGAAGCUGAGGAUGAAGAUACACUCACAAACCUCAAGAUUCACCUGGUUAAAUGGGACUUCGGGGAUCUUCACACAUCUUAUACGCCAAAACCCAAAGAAGAGAAGCCUGCCCACUGCAAUUUGUUGGAAGUACUUGUAUAAAUAACUUAGUGUGGCUUUUAUUCUUUGAUACUUAUACGGGUUUUUCUGACAUUCACAAAGUUACAUGCCCAUUCAAUCUGUAAAACUGAAAGAGAAAUAUUACUCAAGAAAGUAUUCAAAGGCCCAUGUCAAAAACUGCAACAUAAUAAGACGAGUGAAAAAUGGCUCAGUCCUACGUAUUCUAAGCAUUCUGAGAAGCAUGGGUACAUUUUAAAAGUCGUUGCUGUUCUAAUUCUCUGUGUAUCCAUGGCUUUAAAAAAAUUUUACUGAUUUCUUUGAUAAAGAGUUUAGCAAAUG